GUUUUAGGUGUCUAGCGUGCGAACAAAACGUCCUAGGACAACGGUUCUUUUAUCAGAUUGUGUCUAGCGGCCGAACAAAAUGUCCUAGGGCAACGAUUCUUUUAUCAGAUUGUGUCUAGCGGCCGAACAAAAUGUCUAAGGACAACGAUUCUUUUAUCAGAUUGUGUCUAGCGGCCGUACAAAAUCUCCUAGGACAACGAUUCUUUUAUCAGAUUGUGUCUAGCGGCCGAACAAAAUGUCCAAGGACAACGAUUCUUUUAUCAGAUUGUGUCUAGCGGCCGAACAAAAUGUCCUAGGACAACGAUUCUUUUAUCAGAUUGUGUCUAGCGGCCGAACAAAAUGUCCUAGGACAACGAUUCUUUUAUCAGAUUGUGUCCAGCGUGCGAACAAAACGUCCUAGGUCAACGAUUCUUUCAUGAGAUUGUAAGCAUUGAAUUUGUUUAUCAUUUUCGUAAAUAAUUUUCGUGCUUCAUACAAUGGAAAGUGAAUUAAAUUAAUUUUAAAUAUAAGCAGACGCAUUGCAGAUUUCUGGGUAAUUUGUUUCAAAGUCACAGAACUAGAUGGCAAUAGUCGACUAUGUUUCACUAUGUUUUGUUCCGUGACACCUAGAUUGCGCUAGUGUCAGCUAUCUAUUUUGUUUUGUUCCGCCAUGGUCAGAUGGCGCUACCAUCGAUUUGGUUUAUAUUCAUACUUAAUUUUUGUUGUUUUUAAUGCGCUGAGUUGCGGUGCGUACGUUCUAAGUGUUGCAGUUGUUUACAGUUGUCAUAUACAUUUGUGUUUAAUACUAGGGGAAACUACAAAAGUGUAAUUUUACCACAGUACGUUAAUUUAAAACCUUUUCUCCAAAUAGGUAAUUUUAUUUUUUUUAAAUUCACUUCAUAACUUGAUAACUUGCCAUGUAUUUGUAAUUGUAUUUGUGUCGUAUGCAGAUAGAAGAAUUCCCCUCCAACUGCGUGUCUGUUAUCAAUUUCCUGGUUUGCUUAGUUCGGUUUAGUCGGUUGAACGCUGCUCCGUGGUGCGCACGUGUUUUCUUCAUUAAUCAAACGUGAUGUCGAUUUCUUGCGUUUCUUGAUAUUUUGUAGCAUUACUAGAAUCGAUUGCCAAACAGAGGCAGUAGUAGUAACAGCCAAGUGUAGCGAACAAUGAUUUGAGUGAUUCUUUAGAGUGCGUGCACGGCGUCCGUCGGAUAUGUUCCGGUGACUAUUAAUACUUACAGAAGUUCAAGUUUAAUUUAUGUGUUUGACAUGUGUAAAAGUGAAUACAUUUGGAAUCUCCGUGUGGAAUAGUAAAAAAGUGCGUAUCAUCAAUUCUACAUACAAUUUGCGGAAACGUGUUUGUGCGCUUUAGUUCUUUGAUUGAAGAAGAAAGAAGUAAGUAGCAUCAAAUAAAACUCUUACUUUUAUUCAACUUUUUAAAUCUUACAGUUACUGUUAUUGCUUUAGAAUAAUUGUAAAUGUUCAGUCAAUAAAGGAAAUUUUACAUUCUUGUAAACAA